UCAGGCAACUCAAAGUGGACGCCGUAGACCUCCAGGAUGUAGCCCCUGGUCUCCUCGAAGACAUCUAUGCUGAACCGCAUUCCUCUCUGGAAUGGGAAGCAGACACUGGUUUUAUGCUAGGUGCUGGAGAUAAACAUGACAGUCUCUGCCCUUAGGGAAUCUAUUACAGAAGACCCUGGAAGUGUGGGCACUUUCUGAUAGGAAAAUAAGGAAAUAGUUAUCUGUGUAUGUCAAGGUCUGAGCCAAAGAUCUCCCUGCCAGGACCCAGAUCUCAGGCUUCAGGAAGAGAAGAUGCAGGAAUCCUGAAGAGCACCAGGAGAAGAACCGUCCAGAAGUUGCAAGGGACACUGGAACUUGCUAAGUGGGACCCAAGUCCUUUCAGAGACCAUUACUCUGGCAGUGUACAGAACAAAAAGGAACACUACUUCUGACAAUGGGAGACUAGACCUGCUUAAACAGCCUCUGGCCCCUUAAACCCUAGGACAGUCUACUUCAAGGGGUGGAGUUUGCCUGGCCCUACACUGAACCAUUUGGAAGAUAAAAGGGCUAGAUUGUCCAGGUUCUGUUUGAUUCCUCCAGUUCUAAAUGAUGUGACCUCUGACCUUGGACUUUAUGCUUAUGAAUAAACCAAGCCUCUGUAG